UGAAUGACGUUUUUGGCAAUCAUUUUCCAACUUUAUCUUUCUAGAAACAAAUCGCGUACAGGUAUUAAAGUGGGUUUUCUUUGAGAACCUCCCCGAGUUGGUUGCUAAGCUCUCUGAAGGCUCCGCCGUGCAUUCUUCAGUUACUACACACUCGGGACUCAUGUGCACGGGGAUGGAAACAGAUGGCGAGUGCUUAAAACACUUUAUCCCACAGAAGAUACAGUGCCAUUAACUGUUAGAGUAUUCUGGUGCAAGAGAGAAGCAAAAAGUACAAAACGAACAGGUUUACUGAGGACGUGGACAGGAGCACAGAACCCAUGGCGGCUGGGCCGUCUCCUUCGGCCAGAUGCAGAGAGGCAGGGGGUUCUAUGACCUCUGAUGGGAGGUGGGGCAUGGGCGGUACUGAUGACGUGUGAGGCACCGACUGGAAUUCUCUGUGCGAGCAAACAGGAGGAGAGUUGCCAUUAGGGCUGAAGAAGAAGCAGGAAGUGGCGAGUGUCCCUGCUUUGGCCAUCUGCCAUGUUAGACCACCACCAUAAUUGUACAGUAAUUUAUUCUAGGGCAAGAAGCUUUCAUUAGCCACCCUUAGAAUAUUUCACGUUGCUUCAAAUGCUCUAAUCCCAUGGUUCUUGCCAAUUUUGGAAGCAGCUCUGGCAGUCCUUUUUCUCAAGUGUCUCUGGGAGGUGUGGUGGGCAACAGGGUGACUGCCCCCCUGAGCGCAUCCAACAGAAAGGCAGCUCGGAGGGGCACGACACUGUGUCCUCAUCUGCCUUCUUCCCAGGGUCUGACUGCAAAGCCGAUGACCACAAGAGGCAAAGAUACCAAGCUGACUCAGGACAUUGACAAGACUGAACCACACCGCUAAGGACACUGAUGGAGGAGGACUUCCACAACCACCUCGGACUUCUACUAUGAUUCCUAGUGACUGGAAUCCCCAAAACAAAGGCAGUUCUGGGAUGGCCAGGCAGCUUCUCCGAUUGUUCUGUCCUGUUUGUGGUUUUUGUUACUUUUUCAGUCACCCUUGGACCUCAGCACUCAAGAGUCUAGCAGAGAUUACCUCUGUCCUCCAGGGGUCAGUUCGAGAAGAUCCCAGAGCUCUGCACAAACAGAGCAAUAAACAGCCCAGCCUGCUGUCCUGCCUGUGGCCCAUGACUCAGUGUGAAUCCACGCUUACCCACCGGUGGUGGCUGUGGCACCUGUCAGGGCUCGUGCUGGGGUGGGCUGUGGGGCUGAGCUGAGGGGACAGUUCCGGUUGCCUCCCUUUCUCCUUCAGGCAGUUUGCUAAGACACUAGCUGCACACACAGUAAGAACUGGGCCAAGUUAAAAAUGGUGCAAGGACUCAUGAUGGUCUCGUCAUCAUACCAAAGUGACCUGCAGUCCAGUGUCUGUGGAGGGAAGGAGAAACUUAUUACCGUGCAGAGCUGAUGCUUCUACUAAAGGGAGCGAGCCCCUUGCUGAAUGGACCUUGGAAAAGGCAAACCAACGGGGGAGGUUUGACCUCAGGACCCAGCCUUCCAGUAUCACCAGACCCUAACGCAGGUGGCGCCUCUUCUCUUGAAGCCGUAGGAGGCUGUUCUUUUGGCUUAAACUCCUGCAGUGCACCUUCAUGCCAGGCUGCCAGUCACUUCGGAGCCACUCUUGCUACAGUUCCACCUCUCUCCAAGCUGAAGCUGAGCUGUUUAGUUGAACUUCUGAGAAAUAAGGAUUAGAGCAAUACUAACCAAAUUAUCCAAACAGACUGGUUUCAAGUGGCAUGAUCAGGAAGUUGUUUGCCUGAAUCCCCAUACAGAAAAGCUAACCUGAUACAACCUGCUGGGAAUCCAUCAGUUGUUUUCUUUUAUUCUGUCUCCCAUCUCCGUCUUACAAAAAAAGUAACUUAAGCAACCAAUCCUCUUCCUGACUUUGUUUCUGUACAUGUUCUUCAUUCUUUUCCAGCUAUAAAA
rnacentral:lncRNA from 1 species